GGGGGGCUACCAAGUCAUGGAGUAAAUUCACUAAAUAGUAUUAGUUUGUAGGCCUUCUGCAAACUAUCUCCAAUUUACAAUUAACAACCUAAUCACUACCCGUGCUUAACUUCUACCUAAGACUCUUCUAGGUGUGAGACCCUUCUCACCUCCCUAUCAAUCACAACAGUGAUACUUAAACACUUACAAGAAAUUCAGGAGACACACUUUACAAACACACAAUCA
rnacentral:lncRNA from 1 species